AACGUAGGAGACAAACGUUAUCCGGAGUUACUGGGCGUAAAGGGCGUGUAGGUGGUUUUGUAAGUCUGGCGUGAAAUUUUUCGGCUUAACCGGGAAAGGUCGUCGGAUACUGCAGGACUAGAGGACGGUAGAGGCGUGUGGAAUUCCGGGUGUAGUGGUGAAAUGCGUAGAGAAUCCGGAGGAACACCAGUGGCGAAGGCGACACGCUGGGCCGUACCUGACACUGAUGCGCGACAGCAGUGGGGAGCAAACGAGGAUUAGAGUACCCG
rnacentral:rRNA from 1 species